rnacentral:rRNA from 1 species
UACGUAGGUGGCAAGCGUUGUCCGGAUUUACUGGGCGUAAAGGGCGUGCAGGCGGUUUGUUAAGUGCAGGGUGAAAGCUCCCGGCUCAGCUGGGAGAGGUCCUUGCAUACUGGCAGACUUGAGGGAGGCAGAGGAAAGUGGAAUUCCCGGUGUAGUGGUGAUAUGCGUAGAUAUCGGGAGGAACAUCAGUGGCGAAGGCGGCUGCCUGGCCCAAUACUGACACUCAGGUGCGACAGCGUGGGGAGCAAACAGG